UAGAGCUGAGGUAAUGUUCUAUUUUGUUGGUUUCUAGAGCUGAGGUAAUGGUCGAUAGGGAUGGUUGGGGGCAUUUGAUUUUUUCUGUCAGAGGUGAACCCUUGGAUUUGUUAAAGACGGACUACUGCGAAAGCAUUUGCCAAGGAUGUUUUCAUU
rnacentral:ncRNA from 1 species